CAGUCGAACGACUCUGGUAUUGAUUGGUGCUUGCAUCAUGAUUUACAUUUGAGUGAGUGGCGAACUGGUGAGUAACACGUGGGAAACCUGCCCAGAAGCGGGGGAUAACACCUGGAAACAGAUGCUAAUACCGCAUAACAACUUGGACCGCAUGGUCCGAGUUUGAAAGAUGGCUUCGGCUAUCACUUUUGGAUGGUCCCGCGGCGUAUUAGCUAGAUGGUGAGGUAACGGCUCACCAUGGCAAUGAUACGUAGCCGACCUGAGAGGGUAAUCGGCCACAUUGGGACUGAGACACGGCCCAAACUCCUACGGGAGGCAGCAGUAGGGAAUCUUCCACAAUGGACGAAAGUCUGAUGGAGCAACGCCGCGUGAGUGAAGAAGGGUUUCGGCUCGUAAAACUCUGUUGUUAAAGAAGAACAUAUCUGAGAGUAACUGUUCAGGUAUUGACGGUAUUUAACCAGAAAGCCACGGCUAACUACGUGCCAGCAGCCGCGGUAAUACGUAGGUGGCAAGCGUUGUCCGGAUUUAUUGGGCGUAAAGCGAGCGCAGGCGGUUUUUUAAGUCUGAUGUGAAAGCCUUCGGCUCAACCGAAGAAGUGCAUCGGAAACUGGGAAACUUGAGUGCAGAAGAGGACAGUGGAACUCCAUGUGUAGCGGUGAAAUGCGUAGAUAUAUGGAAGAACACCAGUGGCGAAGGCGGCUGUCUGGUCUGUAACUGACGCUGAGGCUCGAAAGUAUGGGUAGCAAACAGGAUUAGAUACCCUGGUAGUCCAUACCGUAAACGAUGAAUGCUAAGUGUUGGAGGGUUUCCGCCCUUCAGUGCUGCAGCUAACGCAUUAAGCAUUCCGCCUGGGGAGUACGGCCGCAAGGCUGAAACUCAAAGGAAUUGACGGGGGCCCGCACAAGCGGUGGAGCAUGUGGUUUAAUUCGAAGCUACGCGAAGAACCUUACCAGGUCUUGACAUACUAUGCAAAUCUAAGAGAUUAGACGUUCCCUUCGGGGACAUGGAUACAGGUGGUGCAUGGUUGUCGUCAGCUCGUGUCGUGAGAUGUUGGGUUAAGUCCCGCAACGAGCGCAACCCUUAUUAUCAGUUGCCAGCAUUAAGUUGGGCACUCUGGUGAGACUGCCGGUGACAAACCGGAGGAAGGUGGGGAUGACGUCAAAUCAUCAUGCCCCUUAUGACCUGGGCUACACACGUGCUACAAUGGAUGGUACAACGAGUUGCGAACUCGCGAGAGUAAGCUAAUCUCUUAAAGCCAUUCUCAGUUCGGAUUGUAGGCUGCAACUCGCCUACAUGAAGUCGGAAUCGCUAGUAAUCGCGGAUCAGCAUGCCGCGGUGAAUACGUUCCCGGGCCUUGUACACACCGCCCGUCACACCAUGAGAGUUUGUAACACCCAAAGUCGGU
rnacentral:rRNA from 2 species